GACGAACGCUGGCGGCGUGCUUAACACAUGCAAGUCGAACGGAAAGGCCCUGCUUUUGUGGUGUGCUCGAGUGGCGAACGGGUGAGUAACAGGUGAGUAACCUGCUCUUGACUUUGGGAUAACUUCAGGAAACUGGGGCUAAUAUCGUAUAGGAUCUCCUGCUGCAUUGUGGGGGUUGGAAAUUUUCGGCGGGUGGGGAUGGACUGGCGGCUUAUGAGCUUGUUGGUUGGGGAGUGGUUGACCAAGGCUUUGACGGGUAGCCGGCCUGAGAGGGUGACCGGCCACAUGGGGACUGAGAUACGGCGCAGACUCCUACGGGAGGCAGCAGUGGGGAAUCUUGCACAAUGGGCGGAAGCCUGAUGCAGCAACGCCGCGUGCGGGAUGACGGCCUUCGGGUUGUAAACCGCUUUCGCCUGUGACGAAGCGUGAGUGACGGUAAUGGGUAAAGAAGCACCGGCUAACUACGUG
rnacentral:rRNA from 1 species